rnacentral:rRNA from 1 species
UGGGGAAUAUUGCACAAUGGGGGAAACCCUGAUGCAGCGACGCCGCGUGAACGAAGAAGGUAUUCGUAUCGUAAAGUUCUGUCCUAUGGGAAGAUAAUGACAGUACCAUAGAAGAAAGCUCCGGUUAAAUACGUGCCAGCAGCCGCGGUAAUACGUAUGGAGCGAGCGUUGUCCGGAAUUAUUGGGCGUAAAGGGUACGCAGGCGGUUUAAUAAGUCGAAUGUUAAAGAUCGGGGCUCAACCCCGCAAAGCAUUGGAAACUGAUAAACUUGAGUAGUGGAGAGGAAAGUGCAAUUCCUAGUGUAGUGGUGAAAUACGUAGAUAUUAGGAGGAAUACCAGUAGCGAAGGCGACUUUCUGGACACAAACUGACGCUGAGGUACGAAAGCGUGGGGAGCAAACAGG